AAAAUAAGCUGCAAUUACUUUACCUAUCAUACUGUUUUAAGAAUGAAGAAAAAGAAGCUUUUGGCCAUGGUGCUUGUCCUUCUUUUCCAUUUCUCGUUGGCUGCAGCUUCGGCCUCAGAGUCUCCCACCGUCAUUGUCAUUGGAGCCGGAAUGUCAGGAAUUUCAGCGGCAAAAACUCUGCAUGAGGGGGGCAUUCAUGAUAUAUUGAUUCUAGAGGCAACUCCUAGAAUUGGUGGCCGUCUGAAGAAAACUCAAUUUAGUGGACUCACGGUUGAGCUGGGCGCCAAUUGGCUUUUUGGUGGGGGACCUGUGCCCAAUCCCAUACGAGACAUGGCCGAAAAACUUGAGCUCAGAACUUCCCUCAAUUACUAUGAAAAUAUCACAUCAAACACCUAUAAACAAGAAGGUGGACUGUACCCUUCAAAGCUGGUAGAGGAAAUUGACAAGGUUGCUACUGCCAGAGAUGAUUUCUGCGCAAAGUUUUCAGAACAAUUGUCGGCCAAAAAGAAGGAUGUUGAUGUCUCAAUUUUGUCAGCACAGCGCAUACUUAAACAGGAGCCCAAAACCCCACUUGAAAUGGU
rnacentral:misc_RNA from 1 species